rnacentral:ribozyme from 1 species
UGACAUGAGGAACCUCCUCUCACCGCGCACGUGGAGCGCUAAGGCGAGGGUGAAGACAGACGUGUUUGGCCCAUGGAACGAAGAGGACGGUCCCGGCUCGGAGAUUGACCAUAAGGUGGCCGUGCUGUUCACGGAGCAGAUGGGCGAUGAGAAGC